CUUCACCCGCCUCUGCUUCCUGUCACGGUCGCCUGUUUCCGGUCGCGGGCAGCUAUUGACGACAUGGGAAACGUGGACGCCGCUUCGCGCCGUGCGAUUUUGUUCGCGCUCCUAGACAGCUCCGACUCGGACAGUACAAUUUCUAAGUCGAGUGAUGCUUCUUCUGACACGGACAGUGAGUGUGACGCUGCUGUGUGCCAACGGGCAUUUGAUGUGAUGUUCCGCCUGCCUGCAAAGAGGCCUGGCGAUGAUUGGCUUCGUCGAGGACGUCGUUCGGCCAUACUCGGACGACGAGUUCCGCAGGCACUUCCGUCUGUGGCGACCUGUAGCAGAGCAACUGAUUGCGAGAUUUGCUGCUUCGCCGGCGUGCCCGUCUAGCAGCCACGGCGGCGUGCCCGCAAAAUCUGCAGAAACUCACGUGCUGACUUUCAUAUGGUAUGCAGCCAAUAAAACAAGCAUGAGGGCGGUGGCAAGCCGCUUUGAUCUGUCAGACAGUUCUGUUCACAGAAUCCUGAUAAGGGUGGCUAACUUUCUCCUCACCAUGGGUCCAUCUGUUGUGACGUUUCCUUCCAACAUGGAAAAACUGUCGAGUGAAUUCCAGAAGGUGUCUGGAAUCCCUGGUGUUGUUGGCUGCCUUGACGGCUCCUAUAUCAAAAUACAAUGCCCAGACAACAAGGUCUGUUCCACUUACUGCAACCGGCAACAUUACCUUUCAAUAACCCUUCAAGCGGUUUGCGAUUGCAAAAGACGAUUUGUUGACACCUGCAUUGGAAGCUCCAGCAAAAUUCACGAUUCUCGAAUCUUCAAUCUAUCAUCACUUUCAAAGAAACUUCCCAAACUGUGCGAGGACAAUGCGUACCACCUGCUUGGAGACGCGGCCUAUCCCCUCAGGCCGUACCUUCCGACUCCAUUCAGAGACUGGAAUGUUGUCAAAGGCACACAUGGAUUUCAACAAAAAGUUUUCAGCAACGAGGGUGCUAAUAGAAAACAGUUUUAGCAAGCUAAAGGAAAUAUUCCGUCAACUAAUCUACCUUGAGCUCCGCACUGUAGAGUGGCUGAACAAAUUUAUUAUUGC